UAGUUNGGCACUUUAAAGAGACUGCCGGUGAUAAACCGGAGGAAGGUGAGGACGACGUCAAGUCAGCAUGCCCCUUACGCCCUGGGCUACACACGUACUACAAUGGCCGAGACAAAGAGUCGCAAGUUUGCAAAGACAAGCUAAUCUCAUAAACUCGGUCUCAGUUCGGAUUGUAGGCUGCAACUCGCCUACAUGAAGUUGGAAUCGCUAGUAAUCGCCGGUCAGCUAUACGGCGGUGAAUCCGUUCCCGGGCCUUGUACACACCGCCCGUCACACCAUGGAAGCUGUUCAUGCCCAAAGUCGUUACCNUAACCGCAAGGAGAGG
rnacentral:rRNA from 1 species